AACUGUUGAAGACCACACCUAAGUGCAAAACUCAGAAAGCUUGGAAAGGAUUAAAGAGGACUGUACUAUUAGGGGUGGAUUGGUUCUUCUCUCAGCUGUGAAUUAUAACACACUUGGAAGGAAUUGCAAAUCAACCUUUACUAAUGCAGACAUUGCUUGUGAAUUGGGAAUAAAAUAGGAAAGAAGUCAGAGAAUGCAACUAUGUCUCAAUUUCGUAUCACUAUCAUCUUCUCACAUGAAGGGAUCUAUUUUGAUGGUCAGAAUUAGAUCGUCAGCAGCCACUAGCAGGUGACUCCUGUAACAUUUAGCAUGGAGAAUUUCAACAAAUAUGUCGAUAUUUCCUCAAUUACUUUAACUUCUCAUCUUUCAUCCAGUCAACUCUCAUGACUCUUCAGUAAUACAAGCAUGCUCAUACUCCUUGAUCUUGCAGUCAUCUACAGAUGUUAUAUAUUCAAGAACUCCAAAAUGAUUUUAUUGGAAUAAAAACUAUCUUUUAUCAUUAUAUCUCUUUCUAUACUUUGCUAUUCUUCUGUUAUUAUAUUCUUCUUCCUCACCAUGCUCUCCCAUAUCUCUACCUCUCAUAAACUGUUUAGCCCUAAUCUCUUUCUUAACCUCACGUCUCAUAACUCCAACUGUUUACUGGACAUCUUGAACUGAAUAUUCUUGAACUCAUUGAGUUCAAAAUUGAAUUCAUUAUCUUUUCCUUCAAACUCUCUAUUCUUAUUAACUUCCCAUUACUGUGGAAAACAUCAGCAACAUCCUAGUCACUGACACUUUCAACAUACAUGUCAUUCCCCAUUCCUCACUCUUCCUAACUCCCCAUAUCUAAUCAGUUGCCAAUUUCUGUUAAUUCUACUUUCAUAACAUCUCUCCUACAUGUCUCUUUUCUCUGACACUGUGAUUCAGGCUCUCAACACAUCAUUGGAAAUAAGACUGUUGCAACAGCCAUCUGCUUGUUCUUGCCUCAAGUCUCUCCCACCUUAAGUGUAAAGGGCUGAAGCUUGAGUUGAUGCACUGAGGUCCCAAGCAUGUGAGGAUAAAUAGUAAUUGGACCAUACUCUAUUAAUAUAUAAGCUUGGAGAAAGAGUGGCCCCCGCCCACUCUUUGUGCAAGUCCUGAUGUGUUGUAUAGGAAAUGACAUUUUUGGUGGGUGGAGGCAGGGGAGUGGAAAGGGAAGCGGAAGGAGAGACUGUUGGCUGGCGUCUUGUCACAGCUGCUCGCAUUGUUAUCACAUCGGCCCUUCAUCUCCAAUCCCCCUCUGCUAGCUGGCUUCCUGUUGCAGUUGCCCAUAUUGCUAUCGCAAUCCUUCUUGCUCAUAUUGCUAUCGCAAUCCUUUUUCACCUCUUCACUUCAAUAAAGAUUGAAGAUUUUUCCCUUAACCUGAAUUCCUGACUCCAGCUGAUUUUAAAUGUGCGGUCAUCACAUUUGGCACCCAAGCGUGGGAACCAAGGACCCUACUUUCACUGAAGAAGUCUCCAAUGACCAGGAACUUAGAGAGACGGAGCAGACCCUUGAAACAAAGGAGAAGACCCAAGAAAUAUUGGGUGGUUCUGUUGCUGAUUGUGCUCACCAUUGAAAAAGCGUGGCAGUUAUGGUGUUUGACUCAUGGACAUAGAAAAUUGUUGGACUUCAAAACCCCCAGGAAUCAUUGGAUUCUCUGAGACAUGAUAAGAUUGUCGUAGGACUUGAAAACCCUCAGGAAUCAUUGGAUUCUCUGAGACAUAAGAUUGUUGUAGGACUUGAAAACCCUCAGGAAUCAUUGGAUUCUUUGAGACAUAAGACUUGAAAGCCCUCAGGAAUCAUUGGAUUUUCUGAGAAAUGAUAAGACUCUUACAGGACUUCAAAAUCUGCUGGAAUCAUUGGAUUCCCUAACACAUAAAAAGACUUUUGCGGACUUCAAAAACUUGUGGGGAUCAUUGGAUUCCCUGACAUGUUAAACAAUGGACAAUAGAUUGGUUUUGGACUAUCUCUUGGCUGCUGAAGAAGGCGUAUGUCUGACUGCUGUUUACAUACUCUCCUUCUAGGACUUCUGGCAAUCUUUUACAACACCAUGUUGAUUUAUAUUGUUUGUUAUACUUGUGUGUACAAUUCAUAUUUGUUACACCACAUCAAACCUGCACUGACUGUGGGGAGGAGCAUCACUAAUAGACUCUGUGUUAUUGCUGUGUGCUUGUGUAAUACCUCCCAUGCUGAUGGGUUUGUGCAUAAUAAGACCCUUCAGCCCAGAAACCCGCUAGCAACCUCCAUUUCCCUUUGGUGCUUUUCAUAUCCCUUCCUGAGAUGUCAGGGGGGUCAUGAUCACCUCCUUUUCGGUGCUUUCACCUUCUUUCCUGAGAAGUCAGGCAGGGUGUGAUCAACUCCCCUUGGGGGCUCUGACCUCCCACUCUUUGUGCAAGUCCUGAUGUGUUGUAUAGGAAAUGAUGUUUUUGGUGGGUGGAGGCAAGGGAGUGGAAAGGGAAGAGGAAGGAGAGACUACUGGCUGGCAUCUUGACACAGCUGCUCGCAUUGCUAUUGUGAAGGCCCUUUAUCUCCUAUCCCCCUCUGCUAGCUGGCUUCCUGUCGCAGCUGCCCAUAUUGCUAUCGCAAUCCUUUUUCACCUCUUCACUUCAAUAAAGAUUGAAGAUUUUUCCCUUAACCUGAA